rnacentral:rRNA from 1 species
AUGUAUCGUGCGCUCACACAUUCUGAGAUACCAGUGAGUAAUAACAAGAAAAUUUGAAAGUCCAAAAUUCCAGUAAAAGUGAAAAUUUUCACAUGGUAUCUUCGUAGGGGAGUUGUGUUAACCAAAGGCAAUCUCGCACAGCGCAACUGGAAAGGGAGUAAGAAGUGUUGUUUUUGUACUCAUGACGAGACAAUCAAACACCUUCUUUUCCAAUGCAAGUUUGCAUGUUCUACGUGGUCAGUCAUCCAAAUAGCGUCAAAUUUGUAUCCGCCCACAAGUGUUGCCAAUAUUUUUGGUCAUUGGUUGGACGGUAUUUCAAAUAGGUUCAAAACGUUAAUAAGGGUGGGAGCGUAUGCCUUAGUUUGGUCGUUUUGGCUAUGUAGAAAUGAUUUCGUUUUUAAUGAAAAAAUGAUUCUCCUAUACAAGUUAUUUUUCGGUGUACGUAAUUGCUACCUACGUGGUCUAUGUUACAACGACCGGAGGAACAACCGCUGUUCAAGGUGGUGUGUAUGCGAUUGGAGCAGGUGGCUAUGGAGGUUUUUUCCCAACAUGGGUGGCAACAUAACCUUCGGAUCAAUCCACCACCUCCAUCGACGUAGGCAUAGUGUCGGUCUAUAG